rnacentral:lncRNA from 1 species
AUUAGGUGCAUUUUCUAUUUUUCACAUUACUGCAAGUGCAAAUAUUGGUAAACUUUCUGCCACUAUGUGACAAGGAUCCAGUUUUCUUCCAUUUUCAACAACAUUUUCUUCACUUUACAUUAGGCCUUCCCCUGUAGCCUUCUCAUAGCAACCAGCAGAUAUUUAUUUUGGCACGUUCAGCAUUGGUCCCUCUGGUCCUGCUCUUCUCGUGGACACUAUUUACAGUUCUUCCAGCUCCAGGCUUCCUACCUCCUUCCCCUGCAAAGCCCUCUGUGCACCUUAUCUUUCUGGAGCAACGAAUACAGACACUUCCUUCUCUGCAAUAGGAGGAAGUGAUUGCAUGUGUUGGGACCCUUUGCCAAUUGCCAAGAAUUUCUAAUUCUGUCCCAUUCAUUCAUCAGUAAGAAAUAUGAAAAGUAGCAGCACCUUCUGAGCAUUUUCUGAACAUUAAUAACAAAUGAGCCUGUUGAUGAGGUCACGUUGGUCCACUUGUAUUUG